AGGGGGCGCUGGGCCGCCCGCAGCCGCGGGGGCGGCGCCCUGACGUCACGCACCUACGGCACAGGCGGCCGCGGGGCGCCCGCACUGUGAGGUCAUCGCGCGGCGCGGCCCGGCCCGGCCCCUACGGCCGCCGCCGCCGCCGGCGGAGGAGGAGCGCGGCGGCAGCAUGGCAGAGGCGGCGGCGGCGGAGGAGGCGGGGGUGCCGUCGCCACGGGUGGGCGCGUGGCUGCCGGUGCUCGUGGAGCAAAUGGUGAACGACACGCUAGUGGUGACGCUGAGCUGCGGGGAGCGCCGCUUCACCGGCGUCCUGCUCGACUGCACCAAGAAGUCUGGAUUAUUUUGUCUGCCAUCCUCCUUUCCCAAGCCCGAGGACCCUCCUGCUGAUGCCUGCGCUAACGGAGUUGCUGAUGGCAGAGAUGCUGUGCAGGGUGAGAGGGAGCCGCAGCCCUCUGGUGAAAAGCCUCCCAAAGGAAAUGGUGAUGAACAAGUGCCCCCCCUCCUGCCUCCCCCGCCACCUGGCAGCCUUCCUCCUUACCCCCCCUACUUUGAGGGAGCUCCCUUUCCCCGUCCGCUGUGGCUGCGGCACACGUACAACCAGUGGGUUCCUCAGCCACCGCCACGGACUAUAAAGAGGACGAGGAGACGCUUGUCGCGGAAUAGAGACCCAGGAAGGCUUAUCAUGAGCACUAUCAGGCUGCGGCCGAGGCAGGUGCUCUGUGAGAAGUGUAAAAACACCUUGAACCCUGAGGACACGAGCGCAACUAGGCAGAACGCUAAAACCAGGAGGAAGCUGAGCAUUCAGGACAAAGAGCAGAAAAAACACAGUGAUUCCAACUACAUGGAGAAAAGGAACAAAAGAGAAAAGAGAGAGGAUGACAAGUUUUCUGGGGAACUAGUGCAUCGAACGCCAGUUAUAAAAAUAUCCUACAGUACUCCACAAGGGAAAGGUGAAGUUGUAAAAAUCCCUUCCCGGGUUCAUGGCUCAGUUAAACCGUUUUGUCCAGAACGAAUAUUGCAGAAUGGAAGGGAGGACCAAGAGGAGACCAGGGACACUGAACGGUGUCGAGAAACCAAAUGUUUAAUGGACAAGUCAGCAGGCAGCCAGCUUGCUUCCAUUCCAAAAUUGAAGCUCACGCGCCCGGUGCAUUCCAGUGCGGAUGUCCCACCCCCAAAGAUACGGCUGAAGCCCCAUCGCAUAAAUGACGGUCAGAGUGUUUCAAUUUAUAAAGCAGAACUUAUUGACGAAAUAAAUGUCCUUCAGAACAGAAGGGAGUCCAAUCCUGGCACAUUUUACAACGAUGAAUCCACAGACAGAAGUUUAGCUGAAAUAUCUUCAGGUAGUUCAGGUGAAGAUGACGACUUUAAAAGAUUUCCCCAGGGUAAAGAUGGACAUGAUAACUUGGCUUUCCUUAUGAAAUAUCGUAAAAGAAAAGCAGAUUCUUCUAGUUUAUCAGUGUGUAGUAAUGACAGUCUAGACGAGUCCAAGUCUUCUAGUUCAGAAGUAACAUCACCAGAAAUGUGUGACUUUUUGCCUGGUGAUGAUGCAUCUGUCUCUUCAUCUUCAAAAGAUGAGCGUAAAAUUGUGCCACCACUAACAGUUAGACUGCAUACCCAAAGUGUGUCUAAAUGUGUCACAGAAGAUGGAAGAACUGUUUCUGUGGGGGAUAUUGUUUGGGGUAAAAUUCAUGGUUUUCCAUGGUGGCCAGCACGUGUUCUUGACAUAAACCUUAGCCAGAAGGAAAAUGGGGAACCUUCAUGGCGAGAAGCUAAAGUAUCGUGGUUUGGUUCUCCGACGACUUCAUUCUUAUCGGUUUCAAAACUCUCUCCUUUCUCUGAAUUUUUCAAACUGAGAUUUAAUCGCAAGAAGAAAGGGAUGUAUCGGAAAGCUAUCACAGAAGCUGCGAAGGCAGUAGAGCAUCUGACUCCAGAAAUAAGAGAUCUCUUAACACAGUUUGAGACAUAACUUUGCCUCCAGUAUCAGUUCCAGCAAAGCAGUCUUAACGGCUCUCAGUGUCACUGCUCAGUGUCAGCUCUUCUGAGGAUAAGCUGGACCCCCUUUGCACCCUGUCCGUUGUUUUGUUGGCUUUCCCUGCCUUGCAGAGUGAACACCCUGGGAGGUGUCAAAGUGCAGCCGUGCACAGCACAGGACCCUGAAGAUGGAAACAAGGCUGGAGAAUCCGUCUACCAAAUUCAGGCUGCUGAAGAAGAGGAGGGACUGGACUCCUUAACGUACUGCCUUGCUCACCAGCACGGCAUGUUUCUGCAUAUCUGUCCCCGUCUCUGCGGGCAGCUGCACCCCAGCACAUGGAGGGAGGUAAUGGGAGGACCUCCUCCUGCCCCCCUGCACCGUCUCAGGCGAGGAGAUGCACAAAGCCAAGAAGCUGCUGUCAGCAAACCAUGGGGUUGUUUGGAGACCUACUGUUCCAAAGCAAAGCCCUUUGGCUGUCACCUGUUGGCAGUUACUAACUGGUGGCUCCUCUACAGCACACAGGAUCAACUAUUCAAAGCUUUACAUGUUUGGUGAGUAAUGUGCCAGAAGGACUGAACUAGAAAUGAUGCAUUAUUUUUUAAAAGCCAUUGUCCCUCCCUCUAGUAUUUCUUGGUGUGUGAAGCCAACAAGCUUUUCUAUACAGAAGGAAAAAGUUGGGUCUAGAGGACGUUGGCAAGGAGCCCCUCCGCAGCAAGAGGCACAAAGCGUGCUGCCGGAGCUGCCACCCGUGCUGCGUGGAUGCGAACACGCAACGUACGAUGCUACAUUUUCAUAGUCUAGGAUAAAUGGUGAAGAGCUUUUAAAAGCACAGAAGAGUGUGUGCACAGAAGGAAGUUGUGAUAUUUAGAUAAGCACACCUUGACCUUUAUUGCUGCUGGCAAAGCAGCCUGGUUUUGUCUGCUUGCCAGCUCUGCAGGCAGUGCCGAGCCCUCCAGGCUGGUAGCCCAGAAGCGCCUGCCCUUGCCAUGGGCACAGCAGGGGGCUUGUGCCAGCUGGCCCUUUACCCUUCAAAACACAUGUUAAAUAUUGGGGCAGGUGGUGCUCUACCCACCCACUGGCUGCUUUUGCAGGGCGACAAGUAUGCAAAGGACGGGGCUGCUCCCCAUGGCAUGUGGUGGUGGGAUGGGGCUUCCUCUGGAGCUGCUGAACAGCUCUGCUAGCUGGGCAGAUCCAUCUUUUCUAGCAGAGAGAUGGAAAAAAAGAAGAGCACAAGGCACUCUGGGCUUUCAAUAUUUUAAGGCCUGUUUUCAUAAUCCUAGAAUAGCCUUUUUGCUUGUAAUAAAGCACAAUGAUUGCUUCACAGCGCCCAAAAUAAUCUGUUUCCUACUCCACAUCCUAGAACUGUGUAAGUAACUGAACCAUGGAGCCCUGGAGGGAUAAAGCUGUGCACAAUGUGAUGGGCUGGGGAUAAUGGUGCUCACCUGCAUGCUUGGGGACAUUUGCAUACCUCUGGCGAGGGAAGCCCUCAUAGUGAGCAGGUUCACCUGAGCUGCCUUCAAGGUUCUGCAUUCCAGAUGGCACCAUGAAAACCAGUUUCUGGAAACUUGCUUUGUGGGCAGCACACCCUGGGUAACACCUGCUUUUCCUUGCUGCGUGCAGUCACUGUGGUGUUUCAGGGCAGUUGCUGCAGUGUCUCAGAGCGGGCGCUGCCCAUGCAGCAGCCCCAGGAGCAGCUCACUCUGAGGAUGCUGCACCAAGGCCUGCCAGCUGGGCAAAUGCUUUUCAUUGCUGCUUGGCUGGGUGUUCUUUUGCUGAUUUGUCAUAGGAGAGCCAUAAAAAUCACCGCUAACCUUCAAUGAUUAUUUAUAGUUAUUUCUUCUCGAGAGUUAAUACUAUCAUACAUGCACAAGCAUUUUCUUAUUAUCAAGCGUUUGAGAGAAAAAGAGUGGUUUGUGGUUGAAAUGAAUCACUGGUGUUAUUCACAGAGCACUGAUGUUAGAAGCAGAAUCAUUUCAUUAACAAGCAUGACUGGUAAGACAUGAUUGCUGCUUAAAUUCUUAAUAAUUAAAUCAAAUAUUUACCCCUUAACAGGGAACGGUGGUAAGUCCCACAGCAAUGCACUGAUUUAAAAGGCCAAUACAAACAUGAGUUAUUUGUACCAUAGUCUUUUAUGAAGAGUUACAAUGGCAUCCACCUCAGGCCAAUAGCUUUUCAGAAAUUGGGACAUAGUUAUUUGUGACCUUUAAAAUACAAGUUCCAGACUGUGGCUCAUCCACCGGUCUUAAAAACAUCAUAUUCCUCUCUCAGAGCACAACCAGAGGGUGGAAAGCUCUCAGAGAGGAGGGACUGAAAGGUUCCCCCUGUGUACCCAGCUUGAGCUGAAGGGAUUUCAUCAGUAGAUUUUGCCUUUUUGAUCUUGUGGACUUUUCAAAUGAUCUGCAAGCCCAUACGACCGAACUCCGGCUGUUCUGCAAAUCAGCUUCCACGAAUUGCCGGUCCUUGCCCUUCGGUGGCAGCCAGCCCACAGCUGGCUCUGCCACCCGGGGGAAACAUCUCUCGUUCUUCCCAUAAGAAAGAGGCGAGGGGAGGCCCAGGGCGAGCCUGGCUGCCCCACGGCCAGGUGGGCUGCAGUCCCGCCAGAGGAGCCAUUCCAACAGUGCGGUGCCCAGGCUGGCCGGUGCGGCCGUGGGCCCAGCAGAGCCUGGCACUGGGCAGGAGGUCCCGCUGCUGGGCCAGACUCCCGAAGCCAUCCUGGGUUCCCUGCCUUGGGAAGGGCCAGCGGCACCCACAGCCGGAGCUGGGAGACUCGUGCGGCCAGGGCUGUUUGCUGGGAGGUGCCUGACUCAGCCUCCAACUGUCUUUUUAGAAGGAGAAAAAGGUAAUGAAGAUAUUCAGGAAAACCUUUAACAAAAGGAAAAGCACCAGUGGAUGUAUAGCACAGAGGGAUCCGUUUUCUGUAAGACACAUCUCUUACAAGCGGAAAUUUAAAAACCACGCAGUUACAUUUUUCAUCUGGAGAUUUGAUUACCAAGGACACAGAAAAUGCAUGUAAGGGGGUGGCCCCACGUAACAUCCCAGCCCAUGGCUGAGCCCACCACACAGUCUGUGUGGGCUGGUCCCUGUCUCACAAGCAGCAGGGACUAAGUUAAGGCCAGGAAGGAAAAGGUUUUAUUUUUUUUUCUCUCAAACUGACCUCCUCAGCUUUGGUAUUGGCCAGCCGAAACCUGCUGUUAAAACUGUGGGCUAGAAGAAGAUGGGGACACCAAGAUUUUUCCUCUUGAUUUUAUUAUAUGCAGAUUGUCAUUUCUGAGCCACAAGACAGCUGCAAAAUUUGGGUAGGAAAUUUGGGUGUUUUUUUCAUGUCUACUGGUGUGUUUUGCUAGUGUAAAUGUUUUUCAGCAUGCUGUGCUGAAGACCAUCAGGAUGUAGAAAUACCCUUUUUUCAGGAGCUAAUUCUGGGCAGGGCCCUGGCACCCAUGCCUUGCACGGCAGUGCAGCGGGCAGGACUGAAGGCAGUGACUGCUGGCAGGUGUGAGGCACUGGGCAGGACGCUGCCCCAGCUGAGCGCAUCUCCAGCUGAUGGCCCAUGCCCAAACCCACGGGGAGCAGCUCCCAGCCCCGGGUAGGCUGCAGCCCGAUGGGGUGAGUGAGCUCCCUCUCUACCAGUGGCUUGAAACUGGUGGGUAAGAAGGAGAAGCUCUUCUCUGACAGUGAAUUGUUGCCUCCCCGCACAUUGCGGGCUCCCCAUCCCACCCAACACUCUGCCCGAGGAGCAGAGGGAUGAGCCAUUGCUGCUACAUGGGUGCCACCCUGGGAAACGGGGACCGGUCGUGUGGUCUGCUUUGAAAUUGUACGUAUCAGCAUAAAUGGCAGCGUGGAUUCUGCAUCAGGGCCAUUUCUGUCUGAGGACUAAAUAAAUGGUUCUAAAAAUUUGAAGGUAAUUUAUAAAAUAGGAAAAUGGUUUAUACAAUGAAGCAUAUCACUCUGAAGCAAGAGAAAACAUCAGCUUUGGAGCUGAAAACAUUUUGUUCCUGGAGUUUAAACACUGUCAAUGUAUGGUACUUAGAGGGAGGUGAGAUCAAGCUGCUGGGAUGCAGGGAAAAUGAAAAAAAAAAAAAAAAAAAGCCAAACAAAACCCCACCAACCACCCAACUUUCCUUUCUUUUGCUUUGUGUGCUUACAGAACUGCUGUGCUCCAGGCUCAUAAGAGCUGUAUGGUACCUCUGCCCCAGCAUUUACCUGGGCUCUUGCUGCAUCUUUCAGAGGAAGAAUGAAUACAGUUCUAAAAUACAGCUUCACCCCUUUUGUUGAAAUUUUGGCCCGUGCCUUGGCCACCUCUGCUCUGAACACUCUCAGGCUCCUGCCUGCUGGAUGUCUGUGCCUGGAUCUGGAUCUGUGGCUGCCUGCGUGCCUCCUCCCUGCGCUGGGCUCCCUGUGUCUGCUGCACCUGGGGGUCCUGGGGCCAGCUGCAGGCUUGUGGCAUGC